GUUUUAUAGGUUUCCUUUUUCCCCAACUUCGCCCUGGUUUUUCAAAAACAUGUCUUUUUGUGAUUAAUUUAAAGUCGGUCCUGCCCACUGAAUAUAUUUGAAUGGCCGCGGUAUCUUGACCGUGCAAAGGUAGCAUAAUCAUUAGUCUUUUAAUUGAAGGCUGGAAUGAAUGGUUUGACGAAGUAUAAGCUGUCUCUGUUUAAUUAAUGGAAUUUGUCUUUUUAGUUAAAAGACUUAAAUAAUAAUAAGGGACGAGAAGACCCUAUAGAGCUUUAUAUUAAUAUAUAAUUUAUGUUUUUUCAGAUGUUUUAUCAAUUUAUAAUAUAUUUAAUAUUGUGUUGGGGUGACAUGAAGAUAAAAUUAACUCUUUAUUAGAUAAACAUAGAUUUAUGGAUAAUUGAUCCAAUAUUAUUGAUUAAAAGAUAAAGUUACCUUAGGGAUAACAGCGUAAUCCUUCUUGAGAGUUCAUAUCGAAAGAGGGGGUUGCGACCUCGAUGUUGGACUAAGAAAAUGACUAAAUGCAGCAGUUUUAGUUUAUAGGUCUGUUCGACCUUUAAAUUCUUACAUGAUCUGAGUUUCAACCGGGGGGGCCGGCG
rnacentral:rRNA from 1 species